AUAAAACCCCACCCGUCUUGGAUCUCCAUUGUUUCUCUAAUGUGAAAUGUCAUUAUUGAGAUGCUCCACUGAAGUUUCCAGGUAAUGCUUAGAUUUGACCAUACAAUAGGAGAUAUAUUCAAUGUACUUUUGUUACACAAUGCAAAAAAUGAGGAGCUAAUUAAGUUAAUAUCAUUAUCAUUAAGAGGUGGCUUUACAUUAGUAAAUCAAGAAGCAUUCUGCCUUAAAAAGAGAGGAACUUCCUUGAAUUCUUUAGUUGCCCCGUGGGAAGUUUAGCCAGUUAUACUCCUCUGAUAUGUGCUGUGUACUUAUCUCUUCAUGUCCAGGACAUGGGGGAAGGAGAAGGACAGAGCCAUGGCAUUCUCUUUGCAAUAUGAGGAGAACCAAAGCAGAGAAUUGGGUAGAUCCUGUGCUCCUGACUGCAGCCUGCCUGGUCCUGACGUGGGCAACAUAAAUUAGGAAAGCUCCUUAUUUUGGAUCCGUCAUUCACUGCAGUCACACAAUGAUUAUUUCUUCCUCCUGUAUAGAAGAACUUAAGGACUUCACCUCAUCAUGAUUCCUCAGCACUCCAAAGGAGAUAAAGGUGGCAGCAGCCUCCAGGAGAAGAGCAGUAACAAGUCACCAGAGAACAGUAAGGACUUCCAUGAUCACAGCAGUUUGCAAUGUGGAUACCUUUUCAUGGCCUGAACAACGUCAAUCAAGCCGCUGGAGUGACCAUUCUGAUGAGGAAGACAGCCAGCUUGCUACAGACUCUCCUGGGCCCAGUUGUAAGCUAAGCAGGUUCAAUGUUGUUGAACUCCUCCGUGUUCAUCAUCAGCUGACCAACACCUUUGAGCUGCCACACGGCCGAGACCACGGGAAUGGUCCCUUACAACCAAGCGCAUCCUGUCUCUGACCACAGAAAACUGCGGAUCUCUUACUGGAAGGUAUAAAAACUUCACUGUCAAUAUAAAUAUUCCAACUAUUUAAUUAUACCCCACUUAGUGUUUAUGGGAUCAGC
rnacentral:lncRNA from 1 species